AUGAAUUCGUCUGAUGAAAAUUGGCGUGAUACACUCAUUAAGAUUUUAGAAGAGCUAACUAAUGAAGAAUAUAAAAAGAUGGUUUCUCUUUUACCGGGGAUUCCAGGCGGGAAAAAACAAACUGCAAAACUAAAAAUGGUUGACACCAUUAUAAAACACUUCGGAUCGGAUGGGUCUAUCGCUGAGAUUAUUACGGUUAUGAAAAAAAUACCAAGGAAUGACCCUACGAUUCGUGGAUUUUUGAUUCCCUUUGUUCAGAAACUUGAAAGGAAUAAACAGAAUCCCAGAAAUAAAUCUUUUGAAGAUGAGUCGCCUGCAGCAAAUCGACGGAAGAGAAAAAAUGAGGGAAAAUUAGAGACGGAGGUGUCAGGACCAGCAACAAAAAAGCUAGACACGAUUAUCCCCAUUGCGAGUCUGAAAAGCUGUGAGAAAUUUGUCAAUAAAGGAAUACAAGUGAAGGUUAUAAGAAUAUCACAAAUGAUAUCUUAUAACACAAAGGAAGGGAAGAAAAAAAUUAUGUUCUACAUGGGUGUAGCUGAUGACACAGGCUCUGUCAAAAUCACAGUUUAUGGAAAAGAGAAGUAUAAGAAUUUCAAAGAGGGUAGUUGUUACAUGUUACACAGAGUCAUCAAUGAAGAGAACACAGUGAAAGUGACCAGCAAAACCCAAAUUUCUGAUCCGAAACCAUUUGACGUUCCUCUGAAAUUUGAAGCUGAGGCUGCGAUUCUCAUUGAAAGUCCGGUAUACUCCAUCGCUGAAGCCGUGGGUUCUAAACAACAAACUCUCAUGAGCAUUGAGGGGUUUGUGAAUGAAAUUGAAAGUAAAAAGGUGACGGUGGAUAAUAAGCAGGUCGUUCAGCGCAUCCUGACCGUGCAGGACGAAACCGCUUUAGUUAAUGUCGUUCUCUGGAGGGAACUGGCACAGCUCCGCAAAGCAUUGGUUGGGGACAAGGUGAGAGUGACCAAUCUACGUAUCAACGAGUACUACGAGAGCAUUUCUUUAAACUCAACUGGAACGACCAACGUAAUAAAGAUUCAGGAUGCUCCUAUGAAAACAUUAAAUAUGAAAAUAAUAUCAGUCAAAGGAUGCACUAAGGCUAAAGUGACCCUGGUAGCAGAGCUGGAUGGAAACAUUAAGUCAUUCAUUGUUUCAACAAAACUCCUUGCACAGACUUAUGACAUCAAACCGGGUCUUGACUUCAAGAAGGAUUUCCUUGCAAUAUUACCUAAGGUCGUAGAGGCAAGAGUAAAAGGGAAUAUAAUAAAAUCGUUUUUUACAUAA
rnacentral:lncRNA from 1 species